GGAUGAACGCNGGCGGCGUGCCUAAUACNUGCAAGUCGAGCGAAUGGAUUAAGAGCUUGCUCUUAUGAAGUUAGCGGCGGACGGGUGAGUAACACGUGGGUAACCUACCCAUAAGACUGGGAUAACUCCGGGAAACCGGGGCUAAUACCGGAUAAUAUUUUGAACUGCAUAGUUCGAAAUUGAAAGGCGGCUUCGGCUGUCACUUAUGGAUGGACCCGCGUCGCAUUAGCUAGUUGGUGAGGUAACGGCUCNCCAAGGCGACGAUGCGUAGCCGACCUGAGAGGGUGAUCGGCCACACUGGGACUGAGACACGGCCCAGACUCCUACGGGAGGCAGCAGUAGGGAAUCUUCCGCAAUGGACGAAAGUCUGACGGAGCAACGCCGCGUGAGUGAUGAAGGCUUUCGGGUCGUAAAACUCUGUUGUUAGGGAAGAACAAGUGCUAGUUGAAUAAGCUGGCACCUGACGGUACCUAACC
rnacentral:rRNA from 1 species